ACCCUACGGGGGGCAGCAGUGAGGAAUAUUGGUCAAUGGGCGGGAGCCUGAACCAGCCAAGCCGCGUGAGGGAAGAAGGUACAGCGUAUCGUAAACCUCUUUUGUCAGGGAACAAAGGCGGGGACUAGUCCCCGGAUGAGGGUACCUGAAGAAAAAGCAUCGGCUAACUCCGUGCCAGCAGCCGCGGUAAUACGGAGGGAGCAAGCGUUAUCCGGAUUUAUUGGGUGUAAAGGGUGCGUAGACGGGUAUACAAGUUAGUAGUGAAAUCCCUCGGCUUAACUGAGGAACUGCUACUAAAACUAUAU
rnacentral:rRNA from 1 species